rnacentral:rRNA from 1 species
GUAGGGAAUAUUGCACAAUGGAGGAAACUCUGAUGCAGCGACGUCGCGUGAGUGAUGAAGGCCUUCGGGUCGUAAAGCUCUGUCGCCGGGGAAUAACACAAUGAAGGUACCCUGUAAGAAAGGAUCGGCUAACUUCGUGCCAGCAGCCGCGGUAAGACGAGGGAUCCUAGCGUUGUUCGGAAUCAUUGGGCGUAAAGCGGAUGUAGGUGGCUAUGUAAGUCAGAUGUGAAAGCCUGGGGCUCAACCCCAGAAGUGCAUUUGAUACUGCGUAGCUUGAGUGUCGGAGAGGUUACUAGAAUUGUUGGUGUAGUGGUGAAAUACGUAGAUAUCGACAGGAAUACCGGAGGCGAAGGCGGGUAACUGGCCGAACACUGACACUGAGAUCCGAAAGCGUGGGGAUCAAACAGGAUUAGAUACCCGAGUAGUCC